rnacentral:rRNA from 1 species
UACGGGGGGGGCAAGCGUUGUUCGGAAUUACUGGGCGUAAAGGGCUCGUAGGCGGCCAACUAAGUCAGACGUGAAAUCCCUCGGCUUAACCGGGGAACUGCGUCUGAUACUGGAUGGCUUGAGUUCGGAAGAGGGUCGUGGAAUUCCCAGUGUAGAGGUGAAAUUCGUAGAUAUUGGGAAGAACACCGGUGGCGAAGGCGGCGACCUGGUCCGAUACUGACGCUGAGGCGCGAAAGCGUGGGGAGCAAACAGG